GGAGGUUUAGCUCAGUUGGGAGAGCAUCUGCCUUACAAGCAGAGGGUCGGCGGUUCGAGCCCGUCAACCUCCACCA
rnacentral:tRNA from 5 species